UACGGGGGGGGCAAGCGUUGUCCGGAUUUACUGGGCGUAAAGAGCGCGCAGGCGGUCGUUCAAGUCGAGUGUGAAAGCCCCCGGCUCAACUGGGGAGGGUCACUCGAUACUGAUCGACUCGAAGGCAGGAGAGGGUAGUGGAAUUCCCGGUGUAGUGGUGAAAUGCGUAGAUAUCGGGAGGAACACCAGUGGCGAAGGCGACUACCUGGCCUGUUCUUGACGCUGAGGCGCGAAAGCUAGGGGAGCAAACGGG
rnacentral:rRNA from 1 species